GACGAACGCUGGCGGCGUGCCUAAUACAUGCAAGUCGAGCGAACCAAUAAGAAGCUUGCUUUUUGUUGGUUAGCGGCGGACGGGUGAGUAACACGUGGGUAACCUGCCUGUAAGACCGGGAUAACUCCGGGAAACCGGUGCUAAUACCGGAUAGAUUAUCUUUCCGCAUGGAGAGAUAAGGAAAGAUGGCUAUUGCCAUCACUUACAGAUGGGCCCGCGGCGCAUUAGCUAGUUGGUGAGGUAACGGCUCACCAAGGCGACGAUGCGUAGCCGACCUGAGAGGGUGAUCGGCAACACUGGGACUGAGAAACGGCCCAGACUCCUACGGGAGGAAGAAGUAGGGAAUCUUCCGCAAUGGACGAAAGUCUGACGGAGCAACGCCGCGUGAGCGAAGAAGGUCUUCGGAUCGUAAAGCUCUGUUGUUAGGGAAGAACAAGUAUCGGAGGAAAUGCCGGUACCUUGACGGUACCUGACGAGAAAGCCACGGCUAACUACGUG
rnacentral:rRNA from 1 species